GACGUGGGAAGGGGCGCCGCUUACGUGCGACCGCUGGGAAGGCGGCGGUGUGGGGAUUUUGUGAGGGAUUCGAUGCGCAUGGGCUAAACCCCCACGAGAGAACAGCCCGUUAAGGAAAACGGCAAUGUGCCCCUCGCCGCGUGCAGCUCUUCCCUCCCCAGCUGCCUUUUCUGCCCUCACAUCUGUCGGUGUAGCGAACUUUUUGACAAGCUAGAAGGAGAUUUAAGCUGCCUGCAGAAGGAGUUAGAAUGAGAUGUUUUCCUUCCUUAAUUUACUCGUGACACUGUCUCUUCUGACGUUAGUGUGGCUGUGCGAUGAGCCAGCACAAAAACUAAGCAAGCUGGUAAUAACAGCGGCAGCCACGUGCAUGUAGAUGAAAAAUUUAACAACCCAAGUGCUCCUUCAAAGCCCAUAAAACCAAGCGAGCUGCUUGGUUUCAGCAAGAUUGCAUCCCCAGUCUGGUUUGUUCCGUGAGUAUGCCAGCUACUGCCGUGGCACGUGGGCCUAGCGUGCUACUGGGAACAGGCAACUCUGAAAUCAGCUUUAUCUGUCAGGAUAGACCAGUUUAUGCGCUGACACCGACAGUGCUGCCAGCGGAGCGCUUGUGAAACCAGCCUGUGAUCAUGAGUCCUGCAAGGCCCUGCUAACCUUUUUCAUAUGUACUCAGUUAAAUCAGCCAAGCAGAAACAAACGGGCCUUGUGUAAUCUUCUCAUCCACAGUUCUCCAACGGGACCUGUGCCACAGAUGGGGAACGUCCACACUAGAAUCACCUGCUGAACAGACCGUGUUCUCCGAGGUCUACGCACACGCGUACAUGUAGAAAUAGGCCUUUCUGUGCAGCUACUGUCAAUUUUCUUAAUUUGCCAAUUUCUCUAGGGAAAGUGCAGCUGUUUGAAGAGAGCCUGUGUACUGGCUUGUAUAAUAUUGGUAGCAGAGAGCAAUUAAUCUCUAUAGUCCUUACCUUAAACAGAUGAUUUGAGAAAAUUUUGAAGAUAAUUCUCAAAGGUUUUGUGGUUUCAAGAGAGACAAGACUCAAUCUGGCGGCAUUUCAUUGACAUUAUUAACAUUGUGUAGAUGCCUUAAUUCCCUUAAGUCAGAUUUUUCUUGAUUGUAAUGAAAUGUAGGCAAGGAAUUCACGUGCUAGAGCUAGCUGGGGUUUGAGUUGUCUCUUAAGCAGGUUAAUUUUGUCAAAUGUGUUCAUUCACAAUUGUUUGAAUACUUUCUCAUUCUUUAAGAAUGGCAUGGUUAUGAUUUUUUUUUAACAUCUAAUUUUAAAUGCUUUGAUCGAGCAAUGUAUUCUCCCUCUAUAUAUGUGUGGCUGCAGCUGUUAUUACCAGAUGCACGUUUGAUCAGUAAAAGGUUUGCUUUCCAUUCAGAGUAUCCAAUUGCUGCUCAGAUUAACUGUUAGUCACUCUUGCCAGCGAGAUUAAUCACUGGAAUUUUGUUAAAACACAGUCCCCUGCAGAACAUGAAUAUAAAGCAAACUAUAUAAAAAAUAUGAAUGAUUAUAUAUGGACCUGGUGAGGAAGCAUAUAUAUGAAAACUUAAACACUUGAUUUGUUUGUACGUUUAUGUAUAAGAAGCUACUCUUUUGUGAUGUAAAUGUAUUUUACAACAGGGCCAAAUUGCGUAUGCUGUACAGUUUGUAAUGUUAACAUUUAUUUCAUUUAAAAUAUAACAAUAUUUGGAAGAAGA